CAAAAAAGUAAAUAAAAUAAAUACAGGAGGAAAAUUUAUUUGUUGUUCUCGAAAUUCUUUGUAAAACUUGGAAGAACGCAGGCAGCAAAUUGCGAUAAAAUGGUAGAGAAGUGAAAAGUAGUUGGAGGAAGACAAGGUUUGUCCCACAUCUGCAGAAUAAAUUGCAACAAUAGAAGUGCAACACAGAAAAGAGUUGCAUGCUAUUCAGAUGGACAAUGAGCUCCAGUGAAAUAAAAAAAAUAAAAUUGAGAUAUAUUAAUAAAAGAAAAAUAUAAAUUUUAUAAAAAUAAAUGACAAUGACUAACUUUAA